rnacentral:piRNA from 1 species
UUGGCUGUGAGCAUUCGCCUCUUGUCAUA